rnacentral:lncRNA from 1 species
AUUGGAUCCCUUUUCUGUGUGGAAAAAGUUUUAAGAAACAGAUCUCAACUGAUGAGAACACCUUCUUUCAACAUUUCCAACAUACCAUUUACAUGAGAUUUCUCCAACCCCCAAAAGUGAGAAACCUGAUUUGACUCUCUGAAAAAUCAAGCAAUUCUUCAGAUUUUUCAGUUGGACCAAUGUCCCCAUCCUAUUCACACUGCAGCUCCAUGACAAGCUGAGUAAGCAUCACUAAGGGAGCAGGAAUAAGCAUAAGGCAAGAAGAAAUCUGACAGUAUCUUAAGCCAGUAUAGCAGCAAGA